CCACGUUUCAGUAUCGUCAAACACUGGUUCAAGAUCAGCAGUGCUCUUCAACAGUCUUGGAUGUCUUCCCACGAUUCCUUAACAUCGCUGGCUUGAUGGACCAAGACUUCACCAUGAUGUUUCGAGAGGAGGUGUCGGGCAGAUCUUUGGCUAAAUGAUGGACUUUUUUCCAACCUAGGAUCCUGACAGAGUGCAGAAAACUGACUUCUAAUGAGCACAUUGAAGAGCUCCUGUCUGCGCAGCACGACACAGGCUGGGCCAGUGACCUGUCAACCUUUCUACUGUUGCUUCACUUGCUUCCACCAACCUCCAAAGGCCACAAGAAGAGGUCAAACAUCAGCUCAUGUCAAGCUGUGGACCAUGUUGUGAGAUAUCUCCAG